UACAGAGGGGGCAAGCGUUAUUCGGAAUUAUUGGGCGUAAAGGGCGCGUAGGCGGCCUGGCAAGUGGAAGGUGAAAUCCCUCGGCUUAACCGAGGAACUGCCCUCCAAACUGCUUGGCUUGAGUCCGGGAGAGGUGAGUGGAAUUCCCAGUGUAGCGGUGAAAUGCGUAGAUAUUGGGAGGAACACCAGUGGCGAAGGCGGCUCUCUGGAACGCAACUGACGCUGAGACGCGAAAGCGUGGGGAGCAAACAGG
rnacentral:rRNA from 1 species